rnacentral:rRNA from 1 species
UACGAAGGGGGCUAGCGUUGCUCGGAAUCACUGGGCGUAAAGGGUGCGUAGGCGGGUCUUUAAGUCAGGGGUGAAAUCCUGGAGCUCAACUCCAGAACUGCCUUUGAUACUGAGGAUCUUGAGUCCGGGAGAGGUGAGUGGAACUGCGAGUGUAGAGGUGAAAUCGUAGAUAUUCGCAAGAACACCAGUGGCGAAGGCGGCUCACUGGCCCGGUACUGACGCUGAGGCACGAAAGCGUGGGGAGCAAACAGG